UCCUCGUUUAAGCGAGGCAGUCUGUCCAGAGUGCUCACAACUCUCGUUGUGGUGGCAACAGAACAUAAGGGUUGCGCUCGUUGCGGGACUUAACCCAACAUCUCACGACACGAGCUGACGACAGCCAUGCAGCACCUGUGUAUGCUUCCCUUGCGGGAUCGUUAGACUUUCAUCCUUCUACUACAUACAUGUCAAGGCCAGGUAAGGUUCUUCGCGUUGCAUCGAAUUAAGCCACAUACUCCACCGCUUGUGCAGGCCCCCGUCAAUUUCUUUGAGUUUUAAUCUUGCGACCGUACUUCCCAGGCGGCAUAUUUAUCGCGUUAGCUACGCCACAAAAGGGGUCGAUUCCUUUUACAGCAAAUAUGCACCGUUUACGGCUAGGACUAC
rnacentral:misc_RNA from 1 species